rnacentral:rRNA from 1 species
GUGGGGAAUAUUGGGCAAUGGGCGAAAGCCUGACCCAGCAACGCCGCGUGAGGGAAGAAGGCCUUCGGGUUGUAAACCUCUGUCUUUGGUGACGAAGAAAGUGACGGUAGCCAAGGAGGAAGCCCCGGCUAACUACGUGCCAGCAGCCGCGGUAAUACGUAGGGGGCGAGCGUUGUCCGGAAUUACUGGGCGUAAAGGGUGCGUAGGUGGCCUUUUGAGUUGGAUGUGAAAUACCCGGGCUUAACUUGGGGGGUGCAUCUAAUACUGGGAGGGUAGAGUGCAGGAGAGGGAAGCGGGAUUCCUAGUGUAGCGGUGAAAUGCGUAGAUAUUAGGAGGAACACCAGUGGCGAAGGCGGCUUUCUGGACUGUAACUGACACUGAGGCACGAAAGCGUGGGGAGCAAACAGGAUUAGAUACCCUUGUAGUCC